UACGGGGGGGGCAAGCGUUGUUCGGAAUUACUGGGCGUAAAGGGCUUGUAGGUGGCCAACUAAGUCAGACGUGAAAUCCCUCGGCUUAACCGGGGAACUGCGUCUGAUACUGGAUGGCUGGAGUUUGGGAGAGGGAUGCGGAAUUCCAGGUGUAGCGGUGAAAUGCGUAGAUAUCUGGAGGAACACCGGUGGCGAAGGCGGCAUCCUGGACCAACACUGACGCUGAGGAGCGAAAGCCAGGGGAGCAAACGGG
rnacentral:rRNA from 1 species